rnacentral:lncRNA from 1 species
CUAUACCAGACAGAGGAUGAUGUGUAGAUUGAUUCCAAAAAAAAUUUCAGCUCUUUCCUUCCUUGAUCCACGUGCGCAGCGCAGAGCACCAACAAGCAGCAAAACUUUCGGAUCUUUUCUUCCUCGAUCCACGUGCGUAGAGCAAAGAGAGCACCAGGUGCGUAGAGCACCUGCAGACGUGCGCAGAGCACCACUGGAUCGCAAGCAGCACGCACGUACAUGAGCUCCCUCCAAUCUUCAUGAGAGUGGGAUUUCUCGAUUUACGCGUGCAC